GAUGAACGCUGGCGGUAUGCUUAACACAUGCAAGUCGAACGGACUCUUCGGAGUUAGUGGCGGACGGGUGAGUAACGCGUGAGAAUCUGGCUUUGGGUUCGGGACAACCACUGGAAACGGUGGCUCAUACCGGAUGUGCCGAGAGGUAAAAGAGAAAUUGCCUGAAGAUGAGCUCGCGUCUGAUUAGCUAGUUGGUGAGGUAAAGGCUCACCAAGGCAGCGAUCAGUAGCUGGUCUGAGAGGAUGACCAGCCACACUGGGACUGAGACACGGCCCAGACUCCUACGAGAGGCAGCAGUGGGGAAUUGUCCGCAAUGGGCGAAAGCCUGACGGAGCAAUACCGCGUGAGGGAAGAAGGCUCUUGGGUUGUAAACCUCUUUUCUUAGGGAAGAACAAAAUGACGGUACCUAAGGAAGCAGCAUCGGCUAACUCCGUG
rnacentral:rRNA from 1 species